rnacentral:lncRNA from 1 species
UUUUCUUCUCUAGGACGUGUGUUUGUGUACCGAUAGACCCAGCCCGGUGCCACGAAUUCGAUCCUACAGCAGUCCUCUUGCUGCUUCACCAUAUUAUAAGUUUGCUGUAAAAACCAAAUUUCUCCAAAUAUGCGAACCAUGGCAGGAUUCCGAUCUGAUCCUGGUCUGAUUUUCGUUGCAGGCUGCUACAAUGGUAAUGAAUUCAAUUCCAGCAUAUACAAAUCACUCCUUUUAUUCUUCUUCUGUAAUUUCCACUUCAUUAAGACAGGAAUCCGC